GAGAGAGAGAAAAGAAAAGGAAAAAAAAAAUAGAUAAAACGCAGAUUUUACCUUCUAUCACUAUACGCAUGUAUUUCUAAUUUGUGCAAACUGACUUUUAUUUAUCUUUGUUCGUUUUUUAUCGUAUCAAUAUUGACAAUAUAUAACUAUUAUAGGCAAUAAUAAAACGAUCAGACGUAGAAGUAAAAUUGCCUCGAGUAAGUAAAAGAAUGCAAUUAUGGUGUUAUACGUACAUAUAUUGCCUUCGAUAUACCUAUAUGGAAGACGAUGUAUAGAGGCAGAUAAGUGAAGUUAUGUCGAAUAGCACGAGCCUAAUCAUGCAGGCUCCGUGCUGAAUUAUUGAUCGCGACUUUAUAACACAUACGGAAGAAGAAUAGAUAUACAAAUGGCAAGGAUCCUCGAUCGUAACGCAUAUGAUGCAUGUAUUAUGAUAUGCAAUCGAUUAAAGAAUUUAAAAAUAUAUUCGAAUAAAGAGGAACCGAUACCUUUUUACUUUUUCUCUUUAAUAGACGCGUACGUACACAUAUAUUUCUUUGUUUCUCAGUUUCACAAUUUCUAUACCACCAUGAAGAAACAGUAUGACGUAAUGUGUGUAUACAUUCAAGGUGACAGGAUAAAAGCGCGACCUCGUUUCAAGAUUGUUGUGUGUUGAGUUUUCAUGAAUUCCGAAGCGUCCGUGGGAUCGAUCGAAACGUACGGCACAAGGAUUUAGACUUACUUGACGGUGAGCUGUCUUUGAAUGAGGAGCUUCUUCUCGAUCUGCUCGAUCGGGAAUUGUGGUACUUCGUAAGGCGCUGAGAUUUCAUUUGGUAACUCUUGUGGAGCAAGUCUCAAGGAAGUACCACCGCUUGUUCCACCACCUUCGAGGCCAUAGACCGGACUUUCGCUACCUGUAAGAAAAAAAAUCUUUUAAACAUUCUACUAGAUAUAAAUAGAAUAUAUAAUUUGUAUGUGAAAACGAAAGCAAAAGGAAAUAUCGUUUGAGAGUUA